AAAUGAAUUGACGGGGGCCCCGCACAAGCGGAGGAGCAUGUGGUUUAAUUCGAUGAUACGCGAGGAACCUUACCUGGGCUUGAAAGUUAGUGACAUUCUGUGAAAGCAGAACUUCCGCAAGGACACGAAACUAGGUGCUGCAUGGCUGUCGUCAGCUCGUGCCGUGAGGUGUUGGGUUAAGUCCCGUAACGAGCGCAACCCCUAUCAUUAGUUGCCAUCAGGUCAUGCUGGGGACUCUAAUGAGACUGCCCGCGCAAGCGGUGAGGAAGGUGGGGACGACGUCAAGUCAUCACGGCCCUUACGUCCAGGGCUACACACGUGCUACAAUGGUAGAUACAGCAGGUUGCCACAUGGUAACAUGGAGCUAAUCCCAAAAGUCUAUCUCAGUUCGGAUUGAGGUCUGCAACUCGACCUCAUGAAGCUGGAUUCGCUAGUAAUCGAAAAUCAGCAAUGUUUCGGUGAAUACGUUCCCGGGCCUU
rnacentral:rRNA from 1 species